UAACAGCGCUCCCUUCGUCACUGACGUAAUUUUUGGAAUCUCAUGGUAUUCUGUUAAGAAAUUUUACAUUACGUCUUGAUAAGUGGAGGGAGGUAACCUAGUGAGUUGUUGUCUAUUAAUAUCGUGACAAUUGACUCAUUUUAUUUUAUAAAAAGAGUUAAUUGUCAAAAUUUUCAUCAUACAUAAGCAAAAUAUUUUUAAUAAAACAAAAUUACGUAUUUUGUUUAUAACUUCCAAUUAAGAGUUUAUAUUUCGUAUUUACCCGACAACUGACCAGCCGUGGUGUAUAUGAGCGACAGAAACUUAAAAAUAUUAAUUAUGUUUCAGCACGAAACAAGGGAUACCUAACAUCUGGAUAUAUUGUAAAACAUUUAAGAAUAUUAUCUUAACAAAAAGAUAAAAGAUGAUGUCACGCUUAAAGUGAUUCUCUCAGCAAAUGGGCUACGGAUUCAAAGUAAACAGGAUGGAUAGGUGUUUUAAAUUUUCAAAAUGUUACUAAAGGUAACCAAGCCAUCAGUGGUAGUUGUCAAGAAUGAGGAA